rnacentral:rRNA from 1 species
CUUUCUUUGCUGGCGACCGGCGCACGGGUGAGUAACACGUAUCCAACCUGCCCUUUACUCGGGGAUAGCCUUUCGAAAGAAAGAUUAAUACCCGAUAGUAUAAUGAUUCCGCAUGGUUUCAUUAUUAAAGGAUUCCGGUAAAGGAUGGGGAUGCGUUCCAUUGGGUUGUUGGUGAGGUAACGGCUCACCAAGCCUUCGAUGGAUAGGGGUUCUGAGAGGAAGGUCCCCCACAUUGGAACUGAGACACGGUCCAA